AGCGAACGCUGGCGUCAUGCUUAACACAUGCAAGUCGCACGAAGGUUUCGGCCUUAGUGGCGGACGGGUGAGUAACGCGUAGGAAUCUAUCCAUGGGUGGGGGAUAACAUCGGGAAACUGGUGCUAAUACCGCAUGAUACCUGGGGGUCAAAGGCGCAAGUCGCCUGUGGAGGAGCCUGCGUUCGAUUAGCUAGUUGGUGGGGUAAAGGCCUACCAAGGCGAUGAUCGAUAGCUGGUUUGAGAGGAUGAUCAGCCACACUGGGACUGAGACACGGCCCAGACUCCUACGGGAGGCAGCAGUGGGGAAUAUUGGACAAUGGGGGCAACCCUGAUCCAGCAAUGCCGCGUGUGUGAAGAAGGUCUUCGGAUUGUAAAGCACUUUCGACGGGGACGAUGAUGACGGUACCCGUAGAAGAAGCCCCGGCUAACUUCGUGCCAGCCGCCGCGGUAA
rnacentral:rRNA from 1 species